UUUUAGUGUAAGUGUGCCCCAUACAUUGCGUGGGAUAUACUUACACCAGAAA
rnacentral:miRNA from 1 species